GCACUGGUGACGAGUCCCAAACAGAACGAAACAGCUCUGUCCAGUGC
rnacentral:hammerhead_ribozyme from 1 species